UGGGGGAUCGAUCGAACAAGGCAGGGGAGGGGGAAACCCUAGCUCAAGCAAAUCAAGCAAUUGAAUCCAAAUUCUCAAGCUAAUCCAGUGCAUGAGUCAUUAAAUUCGAAUAGUUAACCCCAAUUUCUUAAGUGGCGUGAAGGAAGAAGGUACGAGCACUAAGAAAACGGAAGGCACGCAAGACCGAGGUAAAUCCUCAAUUUAGGCGACUCGGCGAAUUGGAGCGAGCACGUGUUCUUCAUAUGUGAUGCCAAGCGCUUCCGCUAGUUAAUACUAAUGUUUUGGGUCAAAAUAUCUUUUUGUACAAUUUGUUGGUAGACACACUUUUUAGCAUUCGAUGUUUUGGUUUUAGUAGUAUCUUGUAGAAUGGUAUUUGUCUUGAUUAUGGUUCAAACAGGAGUAUACUCGUUUUACGGACGGGUCAUGCCCAAAUUUUGUAAAAUUAUGCAUUAAUGAUAUUAGUACAUUUAAAGGUUUAUGCUUC